rnacentral:rRNA from 1 species
GCGCGCGAUACAGGGUGACAGCCCCGUACACAAAAGCGCAUGUGCUGUGAGCUCGAUGAGUAGGGCGGGACACGUGGUAUCCUGUCUGAAUAUGGGGGGACCAUCCUCCAAGGCUAAAUACUCCUGACUGACCGAUAGUGAACCAGUACCGUGAGGGAAAGGCGAAAAGAACCCCGGCGAGGGGAGUGAAAAAGAACCUGAAACCGUGUACGUACAAGCAGUGGGAGCACAGGUUUACCUGUGUGACUGCGUACCUUUUGUAUAAUGGGUCAGCGACUUAUAUUCUGUAGCAAGGUUAACCGUAUAGGGGAGCCGAAGGGAAACCGAGUCUUAACCGGGCGUUAAGUUGCAGGGUAUAGACCCGAAACCCGGUGAUCUAGCCAUGGGCAGGUUGAAGGUUGGGUAACACUAACUGGAGGACCGAACCGACUAAUGUUGAAAAAUUAGCGGAUGACCUGUGGCUGGGGGUGAAAGGCCAAUCAAACCGGGAGAUAGCUGGUUCUCCCCGAAAGCUAUUUAGGUAGCGCCUCGUGAAUUCAUCUCCGGGGGUAGAGCACUGUUUCGGCUAGGGGGCCAUCCCGGCUUACCAACCCGAUGCAAACUGCGAAUACCGGAGAAUGUUAUCACGGGAGACACACGGCGGGUGCUAACGUCCGUCGUGAAGAGGGAAACAACCCAGACCGCCAGCUAAGGUCCCAAAGUCAUGGUUAAGUGGGAAACGAUGUGGGAAGGCCCAGACAGCCAGGAUGUUGGCUUAGAAGCAGCCAUCAUUUAAAGAAAGCGUAAUAGCUCACUGGUCGAGUCGGCCUGCGCGGAAGAUGUAACGGGGCUAAACCAU